UCACUUUGCAAUGGGUUUUCCAAAGUGCAAUGGGAUGGGAGCUGGAUGAGGCUCCGGCCCCAUGUGCCUUCUGCUGGGACGAAGAGCUUUUCCCCUUCACUUCAGGGGAGGUUCAGGUUGGAUGGUAGGAAAUGGAAGGAGUGGUGAGAUGUUGGCACAGGUUGGUCAGGGAGCAGGGCAGUCAGCAGCCCAGGGGGUGUGGAGACGUGGCACUGAGGGAUGUGGUCAGUGGGAAUGGUGGGGAUGGGUUGGGGUUGGACUAGGGUGGUCUUGGAGGUCUUUCCCAACCUUAAUGGUUCUAUGACUGUCAUCUGUAAUGACAAGGGUUGAUGUGAUAGAGUCCUCCUAGAACAACAGAACAAAAUCACCACUGUUCCAUAGUAUGUUGCACUCGUGCCAACAUCCAUUUCUGUAGCGUCUCUGCAGGCUGCUCCCCCUCCUCUGUGUGCACAAAUCUGCCUUUUAUGGUUUGCAAAUGCAAAAAUCCUGCCCCAUCCACACUCACUCGUUUGCUGUGGUUACGGCCUUUCACAGCUACCUCUUAGUUAAUGGGGGAAAGGGGCAAGGAGCUCCCAUACAAAGCACUGUGGGGCUACAGGGACACCCACAAUAACCCAAAGGCUCAGUUUGGGAAGGCAUUACAGACCGUACAAGGGUGAGCACGGUACGUCAGGCACCUGAGAUGUUUCCCUAUGAGUGCAGCUCUUUGAGUCUCCAAGCAAACCCUACACACGGCAGUGCGCAGGGCUCAUCCAGACACCGUGCUGGUUCCCAUGUAGGGAUGGGAAAUGCCUCAGCUCCUUAUGGUGCUUGGAUCGCUCUCACAAUGUUCUAAUGCAAUACGGGAGCCUGUCUGUCACCAUUGCCUAAAAAUUGCUAUGGCUUUACAAGCAUAAACGUGGUGCUCCAUAGAGCACAGCCAGCAUUGGUGCAGCUGGAAGUUAGCUACAAAACAUCCAUUUACAGACCCCAAACUGACAGAGAGAAGAGUCCUGUUGGGACUGUUGAGUCCCAGCCUGAGCUACUGAUUGAGCACCUGGGGAAAGGACCCGGUCAGCCCUGGGAGCACAGGUGAAGGCAAUUCAGCUGUGAGUGGAAGGGGUGGAGCCUCCAUCUCUCUUAGACCCCAUUUAAGGGCUGAUUGUGAGUGAGGAAGGGUCUCUACUUCAUGGAGAUCUCUCCUUGGUGAAGCUUUCCCCUGUGAACAAGGACUCUUCUGAUACGGUAUGACAGAUGCACGUGUAACUUGAGGAGUUCAGUGAUUUCAUCCAGCUGUGCUUCCUCCCAGGUUAAGAGGGAGAAAUGAGAGUGAAGGCUGUGAGUAUCCUGCAGUGGAUCUCCAUCUCAGAAAUGCUAAACUGCAGCGUGGAGAGCACUGCUGCAGAGCUCACUCUGUGCUCAUGUGUUGUGGCUCUGGCUGACAGCAGAAGUUUGCCGUGUGGAAGCUGCUACAAAGAGGAGCUCACUGCAGGCUUCACCAUGGAGUUUACAGGACUGUGGCAAGCUCUGAUUUAUUGCUUCCUGCUUUUCCUAGAGGCCGUAUCUGUAAGGAUGCCUAAUCUAAAAGCUUUCCGGCAACAUCUGGUCACACUCAGGCUCAACUUUUCAGCCAUGUUUCCCAUGGAGGAGGCUGCCCCUCCUGCCAGCCCUAAUGGUUGGUGCUGGUGGACACAUCCCAUCACUGAGAUGGGCUGGGAACCUCGGAUCAAAAGGACCUUGUGGAGUGGGAGCAUCUGCAGGCUCUGAGGGCUGGUGGCUGUGGGAAGCCAGAUUUCCUUUCCUAGGCAGCCAAGUGCCUUGGAUGAUUUGUUUCCGUGCUUCAGUCUGGUUGUGAAUGGAGGCAGGAUCACUCUAAAUGUUCAUCUAUACCACUCCUACCAACAGACAGACUUGUCUUCACACUUUAUAUUCAGUAUUCUCAUGUUUGUGAAUGGUUU